rnacentral:rRNA from 1 species
AUACGGAGGAUGCAAGCGUUAUCCGGAUUUAUUGGGUUUAAAGGGUGCGUAGGCGGAUGAUUAAGCGUGAGGUGAAAUGCCACUGCUCAACAGUGGAACUGCCUCGCGAACUGGUUGUCUUGAAUGCUCCUGCCGUGGGAGGAAUGUGUGGUGUAGCGGUGAAAUGCAUAGAGAUCGCACAGAACACCGAUUGCGAAGGCAUCUCACGAAGGGGUGAUUGACGCUGAGGCACGAAAGCGUGGGGAUCAAACAGGAUUAGAUACCCUGGUAGUCCACGCAGUAAACGAUGAUAACUAACCGCUGGGUCGUAGUGAUUCAGUGGCCAAGCGAAAGCGAUAAGUUAUCCACCUGGGGAGUACGACCGCAAGGUUGAAACUCAAAUGAAUUGACGGGG